rnacentral:rRNA from 1 species
AGAGUUUGAUCCUGGCUCAGGAUGAACGCUGGCGGCGUGCCUAACACAUGCAAGUCGAACGAAGCACCUUUUGAGAUUCUUCGGAUGAUCGAUUGGUGACUGAGUGGCGAACGGGUGAGUAACGCGUGAGGAACCUGCCUCAAAGAGGGGGACAACAGUUGGAAACGACUGCUAAUACCGCAUAAGCCCACAGGUCGGCAUCGACCAGUGGGAAAAGGAGCAAUCCGCUUUGAGAUGGACCCGCGUCUGAUUAGUUAGUUGGCGGGGUAACGGCCCACCAAGGCGACGAUCAGUAGCCGGCCUGAGAGGGUGAUCGGCCACAUUGGGACUGAGACACGGCCCAAACUCCUACGGGAGGCAGCAGUGGGGAAUAUUGCACAAUGGGGGAAACCCUGAUGCAGCGACGCCGCGUGAAGGAAGAAGUAUCUCGGUAUGUAAACUUCUAUCAGCAGGGAAGAUAAUGACGGUACCUGAUUAAGAAGCCCCGGCUAACUACGUGCCAGCAGCCGCGGUAAUACGUAGGGGGCAAGCGUUAUUCGGAUUUACUGGGUGUAAAGGGAGCGUAGGCGGCGGAGCAAGUCAGAAGUGAAAGCCCGGGGCUCAACCCCGGGACGGCUUUUGAAACUGCCCUGCUUGAUUUCAGGAGAGGUAAGCGGAAUUCCUAGUGUAGCGGUGAAAUGCGUAGAUAUUAGGAGGAACACCAGUGGCGAAGGCGGCUUACUGGACUGACAAUGACGCUGAGGCUCGAAAGCGUGGGGAGCAAACAGGAUUAGAUACCCUGGUAGUCCACGCUGUAAACGAUGGAUACUAGGUGUGGGGGGACUGACCCCUUCCGUGCCGCAGUUAACACAAUAAGUAUCCCACCUGGGGAGUACGAUCGCAAGGUUGAAACUCAAAGGAAUUGACGGGGGCCCGCACAAGCGGUGGAGUAUGUGGUUUAAUUCGAAGCAACGCGAAGAACCUUACCAGGGCUUGACAUCCCACGGCUGGAAUUAGAGAUAGUUCUUUCUCUUCGGAGACUGUGGUGACAGGUGGUGCAUGGUUGUCGUCAGCUCGUGUCGUGAGAUGUUGGGUUAAGUCCCGCAACGAGCGCAACCCCUAUUGUUAGUUGCUACGCAAGAGCACUCUAGCGAGACUGCCGUUGACAAAACGGAGGAAGGUGGGGACGACGUCAAAUCAUCAUGCCCCUUAUGUCCUGGGCUACACACGUACUACAAUGGCGGUAAACAGAGGGAAGCAAGACCGCGAGGUGGAGCAAACCCCUAAAAGCCGUCUCAGUUCAGAUUGUGGGCUGCAACCCGCCCACAUGAAGUCGGAAUCGCUAGUAAUCGCGGAUCAGCAUGCCGCGGUGAAUACGAUCCCGGGCCUUGUACACACCGCCCGUCA